CCUUUCAUUUUCCCUCCCUUACAGUCCCCCCUCCAAAGAAUGUCCAGCCCCGAGCCCUCCAUUACUAUGGGCCGCACCAGUGAGGUGUCCUUUUUCUCUCUCGCAACGACAGGCAUGGAAAUCGAGAAGUUUUCUUUCCAGGACUUCCUAUUUCGCUUUUUGUAUGAUUGACUAGAACCUAUAAAUGUAUUGCGUCGUCGAGUUUUUUCGUAGUAUUUUACUGCUGGAUUUAUGUGGUGACAAAGAGAUGCAAGGGAUUUGGAGCAAUGGUGAUAGCUAUAUGAUUUCCGCUAAAAGAAGGAUCCAAAAUUGCGCAAUAUGAUCUUUGAUUGAAGCUGAUUCACAAAAAGUUAUCCAAGAAAAUUCAGAAUGUUUUAGAAGAGCUAGGAAAGUAGACAAACACAGAAAUCUGGUGAAAGUCAUUCACGCUCCAAUAAACUGCACGUUCUUACAUGCUGCAACAUGGGCCUGCAUGUGAUGGAAGCAUAGUUUGAAGGAAAAUUCUUCCUAAAGUAAUUGCCAAUGACAUGCAUACCUGUCGGAGGAUCAGAGUUAGAUCUCCAGAGAUCAAAUUUUAAGAUGUUAUAGCAAGCUAUCACCAAAUGGUGGUUUUGGUAUGACAAUAAAUGUAACAAUAAAAGCUACUUGAUUUGUAGCUUGGAAUUCAUGGUCCAACCACAGAAACAGCCUAGCUUCAAAGCAGGGGUAAGACUGCUUAAACCUUCCCCAGAGUCCACAAGUGUGGGAUGCUUCAUGUAGUGGUCACUCCUUAUAGCAGGUUAUCGCACCUAGAAAUUUUCACAAAAGUCAGAAAGUUGAGAACAACUGAUGUUUUGAGAGAUGGAUAGUCUUCAAGUGAUGAGAUUAUUGCUCACAGAUGGACAGACAUUCCACCUGCACAAAUGAAAGCUGCCUCUCAACCUGCCAUUCUAGUAACUUGGGUGGCACCAGCAAGCGGCAUUAUGCAAACAGCAUUAUGCAAACAGCAUUACAUAUUGUACUACCUCUCACUGGGCUCAUUUAUUUGCAAUUUGUGGAUAUAUAUAAUUGGUGUCUUCACUUUACCUUAAGGCAUCAACACGCAUAGUGGCAUGUUCUCGUUGUGCAAUAAUUUACUUAUUUGUCUAUACUGGCUGAGAACCUCAGCUCUUGCUGGCUUCUUGCAUUCUAUCACUUUGGGAAAUAUGUUAAUUUUAAAGCAGAAGUAAGCUACCUAGUUCAAUAAGAUCUGGAGUUAUUUGAACACUAUGUGUGCUUAAUCUGUUCUAAUUGUAUAGUGGAAGAAAAAAAGAGCUUCUGUGUUUCAAAUUUUAAGAUCUGAUAGGCAUGAUAACUGGUAAAUAUACACUUAUGAAGCAGUGAAACAUGAAAAGAUUGCCAUAAGCAAGUGUAUGGGGAAGGAAGCUACUUUAGGCUUUCCAGCAGUAGCUUAGAAUCUCACUAGAAAGAGAGUUGGGUUUCCUGGUUUGGGGAGUAGGGCAGAGAUGCAAAGAUUCAGUAUACUGGAACCCAUGCAAUUAAUAUGUGGUCUUUCAACUCAUCUGAAGCAGCUGAACUGGUGGUAACUCUGGUUUUACUAAUGUUGAUAUAGAUGCUUCAAUGAAGUUGUGAUGCAUGUUCCUACUUGUGAAUUCUGAUCUUAGUAUCUUAUGUGAUUUUAUUUUUCCCUGACUACAUUUUGUGCUCAAUUAAGCAAUUUCGUGUGUUCUUUUUUUAAGUUCUGUUAUUUGGUCAUCAGCUUCUUUCAUUAUAUGUUAGCUUGUUUGACUAUAAUUUAUUUGUUUUUUAGCUAGACAUGAUCUUGUUGUGGGAGAUGAGUUAUAAAGACCUCAGAAAAAUGGGGAUAUCAAUGUUAUUGCUUUAAUUCGUAGAACAUGACAGCUUUUAUGUAACAAUUUGUUUGGAUCCAUCCUUGUUUGUCACUAAACUACUUGCUGUCUUACAUGAUACUCAUCAAAUAGUUAACAAGCUAGAAGCUUGGAACAUGCUUACUGCUUUCUGUCAUUUGCAUGUGAUAAUAAUGUGGACAAUUGCAGUUUAGAUUAAAAUCUUUCGUGGGAUGGAAAUGGCUUGAACAUAAUUUUGGAAUGGUACAUAAUUUUCAUGGAUAUCAUCCACAUUAUAUAGAUACUCAGUCCUGGAAAGGCAAACAUAAAUAGAUAAUUACUGCAACUAUUCUGUGGAAGUGAUUCCAUAUUUACAUUUAAGCUUGCUGAGUUCUGAUGAUCAAGUCAAAUGUAUAUUGUUUUUUCGAGAUUGGAGAUCCUUCUAUUGAAUAGCAUGGCAUUGUUGUUAAAUUAAUUAAUGCUUGCAUUUAAAUUAUCUAUCCUGGGAGGCCUGAACACCUUUGUUUUUUCUUAGUAUCUUAAGAGAUUUAUUUGGUACCAGGUCAAAUUUCACAAUAACUCAAAAGUCAUAAUCAAUUUCAAAUAAUACAAAUUAAUUGAAUAGACUUAAAGAACAGAACAUUAGCAUUGUUCUUGAAAGCUGGUAGUGUUAAUUUUACAUCAAAUCAUGCAUAACAAUGCAUCUGUCUAGCAUAAAAAAUUCACAUGGGUAUUCUUGCCAUGUCAGCCUCAAAAUACUUUGACAGAUAAGGUAUUACUUUUGGUUUUUGAUGAAGAAGGCUGAUCUUUCGCCCAAUCUUUCCCCAUCCUAGAAGCCAAAGCAGCCAGAAACUUGUUAUUAAACAGGCCACCACUAGCAGCAGUAGCCGCCGGGGUUGAUGAAGCCUUAUUACAAGAAUGGUCAGCUGGAAAACGAUGCUUCAAACAAACCUUCAAUUCGCAAGUCUUGCAAAUGCAUGUAUUAGAGAAGGUUAAUAUCUCCUUGCAGCGCCUAACAGCACAGGUAGGUUUCUUUUUCUUUUUCGGGUCACAGUUUCCAGACUUGAGAUGUUUCUCUAAUAUCAACUUCUCAUCAUCUUCAUCUCGUCCAGUUGUUUCAAUGGACGUUGAACAAAUCUCACAAACCACCACUUUUCUGCUAUUGUGAUCUGAUUUAGGACAAUCAUGGGACUUGUAGGAUCUAUGCUCCAGACAAAACACCUGACAAUCAAAUAAAAAAUUGAUUUAUGUAAGAAAUAUGUAAAACCAGAUUAACCCAAUUAGAAUUAUAAUGCAUAGAAUGAAACGGGAUGAUCAAUAUAUUUUCGUUAUUACCUUUUGACAACCUUGGCAUUUGAAAGGCAGGAAAUCAAGUUGAUUGCAAUCUGAAUGUUGACAGUGUCUACCCAGAUCAGGAAAAGCUUCAGUUCCUCCUGCAGCCAUUUUCUUUUGGAUUGGUCCUUAUAAUGGAUUCUUCUGGAGGCUCACGGUCGGUGGCGCGUAGACCGUGCCGUUAUUUCUUUGAUUUUUGACGUCUGCGCACAUAUAUGCCAUCCCAUCGCUUCACCAAUGGGGCCUCGCCACGUAACCCUUUUGUUUUUGUUGUGAUAUGUCCCGCAUCAUUUUUAAACAGUUCGAAAUUUUAUUCGCUUUCAAGUACUCUUGUAAAUUCGAUAAUAAUCUUUGGUUGGUUAAUUUUACAAUCAUAGAAUUGUUUGGCAAUUCAAUUUUUUCGAAAUUAUUAUGAUAUAAAUAAAAUAAAAU